UACUCUUUAAAAUUCUAUAUUAUGUUUUUGUAGCCUCGAAGGUGGUUAAGCAUUUUCAAAUUUAAAGAUGUGGAAAACAACAGCAGCAACAACCAAAAAAAAAUAACACUCAACCGAAGGAAAACAGAGAUGCAUAUGAGGAACUAUUGAGGUUAAGUGUGAGUUGUGAUGGAUUAGAUUACAAGUAAGCGUAUCCUCAAGUACAUGGAAGAGAUUACAGAUAAGGUAAAAAAAGUUUUGAUAUCUGAUCACACUCUGAAUGCUAAAAUUGAACUUACAUCACAAUUCCAUGACAGAGUUUCAUUUCUCUCAAACAUGUCUAUUGCAUCCUCAAGCUUAGGCAAAGGUCUUGAAGGAUCUCCAUGUUCGUCACUGCAGUAUAUCCCACAACGUUAGACUCAAACAGAAAACAUAAAAGAAGGCGCUUCGAAGAUCUAUAUAAACCUGGUCCACGGAGCUGGCUUGUUAUCACAUCUAACAAAAAGGUAACAAUAGACCUUAAAAGAACCCUAUGAAAAACAGAAGAAUAGUGUUUCAAAAAAAAAAAAAAAAAAAAAAAAGGAAAAACAGAAGAAUAGGUCAGGAAAAUAAUCACCCUCUCUGCACAGACAUAACUGGUGGAAAAUAUUAUUAAGCUGUAUGCAUACCUGCACUCCAACUUUUAGCUAGCACUUCUCAAUCCUAUAAACACCAUCAUAUCUCACUCCUGCCUCAGGGGCAUAUGCGGAUCUUUUUAUUUGUAAGACCUGUAUAUGAAAUAUAAAAAGUUGGGAUCACUUCUGGUCAGAGUUUAUCAAGUGAACAUCCAGUUAUUUCGAAAGAUAACAAUCUUUUCUUAUUCCCUUCAUAUAGCACUGGCGCACAGAAAAGCAUUCCAUAAUUUUACCGUAGGAAAGCUAAAGAACUGAGAAUGUGAGUAAAGUGUUGAGGUGCUAGAAAUUAGGGUUUUCAAAAUCUAACAUUCAAUCAAACAAUACAUGUUAAGAACAUGUAAUAACAACUUAGAAUUGCAUAGAUUCAGGACUUAUACUUUCAAUUAUCUUUGAUUUAAAUCUGGAUUUGUCAGAGGUAAUCUCGGAUUUAGGGUUCCUCUUGUAUGACAGAGACGGCGGCGAGCUCGGGUGGAGGUGACGAAAUGGAAGGCGGCUGUGACGGAGAAGUCGUCGGAGACAGAAGUG